CAGCCGCCGCGGGAAUACGGAGGGGGCUAGCGUUGUUCGGAAUUACUGGGCGUAAAGCGCGCGUAGGCGGCUUGGUAAGUUAGAGGUGAAAGCCUGGGGCUCAACCCCAGAAUUGCCUUUAAGACUGCCGAGCUAGUAGGUGAGAGAGGUAAGUGGAAUUCCGAGUGUAGAGGUGAAAUUCGUAGAUAUUCGGAAGAACACCAGUGGCGAAGGCGGCUUACUGGCUCAUUCUAGACGCUGAGGUGCGAAAGCGUGGGGAGCAAACAGGAUUAGAUACCCCUGUAGUCCCUGUCUCUUAUAA
rnacentral:rRNA from 1 species